AACGAACGCUGGCGGCAGGCUUAACACAUGCAAGUCGAACGCAUCCUUCGGGGUGAGUGGCAGACGGGUGAGUAACGCGUGGGAACGUGCCCUUCAGUUCGGGAUAACCCAGGGAAACUUGGGCUAAUACCGGAUACGUGCGAGAGCAGAAAGCUUUAUCGCUGAAGGAUCGGCCCGCGUCUGAUUAGCUAGUUGGUGGGGUAAUGGCUCACCAAGGCGACGAUCAGUAGCUGGUCUGAGAGGAUGAUCAGCCACAUUGAGACUGAGACACGGCCCAAACUCCUACGGUAGGCAGCCGUGGGGAAUAUUGGACAAUGGGCGCAAGCCUGAUCCAGCCAUGCCGCGUGAGUGAUGAAGGCCUUAGGGUUGUAAAGCUCUUUCGUCCGGGACGAUAAUGACGGUACCGGAAGAAGAAGCCCCGGCUAACUUCGUGCCAGCCGCCGCCGUAA
rnacentral:rRNA from 1 species